rnacentral:rRNA from 1 species
CCUGGUUAGUGGGGGAUAACGUUCCGAAAGGAACGCUAAUACCGCAUACGUCCUACGGGAGAAAGCAGGGGACCUUCGGCCCUUGCGCUAUCAGAUGAGCCUAGGUCGGAUUAGCUAGUUGGUGAGGUAAUGGCUCACCAAGGCGACGAUCCGUAACUGGUCUGAGAGGAUGAUCAGUCACACUGGAACUGAGACACGGUCCAGACUCCUACGGGAGGCAGCAGUGGGGAAUAUUGGACAAUGGGCGAAAGCCUGAUCCAGCCAUGCCGCGUGUGUGAANGAAGGUCUUCGGAUUGUAAAGCACUUUAAGUUGGGAGGAAGGGCAUUAACCUAAUACGUUAGUGUUUUGACGUUACCGACAGAAUAAGCACCGGCU